GACGAACGCUGGCGGCGUGCUUAACACAUGCAAGUCGAACGGUGAAGCGCCUUCCUUUUUGGUGGGUGUGGAUGAGUGGCGAACGGGUGAGUAACACGUGAGUAACCUGCCCCCUUCUUCUGGAUAACCGCAUGAAAGUGUGGCUAAUACGGGAUAUUCUGGGUCUGUCGCAUGAUGGGUCUGGGAAAGAUAUUGUUUCGGUGGGGGAUGGGCUCGCGGCCUAUCAGCUUGUUGGUGGGUGAUGGCCUACCAAGGCGGUGACGGGUAGCCGGCCUGAGAGGGUGGACGGUCACACUGGGACUGAGACACGGCCCAGACUCCUACGGGAGGCAGCAGUGGGGAAUAUUGCACAAUGGGCGCAAGCCUGAUGCAGCGACGCCGCGUGAGGGAUGGAGGCCUUCGGGUUGUGAACCUCUUUCGCCAGUGAAGCAGGCCUGCCUCGUUUGUGGGUGGGUUGACGGUAGCUGGAGAAGAAGCGCCGGCUAACUACGUG
rnacentral:rRNA from 1 species